rnacentral:misc_RNA from 1 species
GAUGAAGAACGCAGUGAAAUGCGAUAAGUAAUGUGAAUUGCAGAAUUCAGUGAAUCAUCGAAUCUUUGAACGCACAUUGCGCCCCCUGGUAUUCCGGGGGGCAUGCCUGUUCGAGCGUCAUUUCACCACUCAAGCCUCGCUUGGUAUUGGGCAACGCGGUCCGCCGCGUGCCUCAAAUCGACCGGCUGGGUCUUCUGUCCCCUAAGCGUUGUGGAAACUAUUCGCUAAAGGGUGUUCGGGAGGCUACGCCGUAAAACAACCCCAUGUCUAAGGUUGACCGCGGAUCAGGUAGGGAUACCCGCUGAACUUAAGCAUAUCAGUAAGCGGAGGA